rnacentral:rRNA from 1 species
UACGAAGGGGGCUAGCGUUGCUCGGAAUCACUGGGCGUAAAGGGCGCGUAGGCGGCCAAGUAAGUUGGGGGUGAAAGCCCGUGGCUCAACCACGGAAUUGCCUUCUAUACUGCUUGGCUUGAGACCGGAAGAGGUGAGUGGAACUGCGAGUGUAGAGGUGAAAUUCGUAGAUAUUCGCAAGAACACCAGUGGCGAAGGCGGCUCACUGGUCCGGAUCUGACGCUGAGGCGCGAAAGCGUGGGGAGCAAACAGG